CAUUCAAAGAGUGCGUAAUAGCUCACUAGUCGAGUGACCCUGCGCCGAAAAUGUAACGGGGCUAAACAGAUUACCGAAGCUGUGGAUUGGACCUUAUGGUCCAGUGGUAGGAGAGCGUUCUAAGGGCGGUGAAGCAUGACCGUAAGGACAUGUGGAGCGCUUAGAAGUGAGAAUGCCGGUAUGAGUAGCGAAAGACGGGUGAGAAUCCCGUCCACCGAAUAACUAAGGUUUCCUGGGGAAGGCUCGUCCUCCCAGGGUUAGUCGGGACCUAAGGCGAGGCCGAUAGGCGUAGUCGAUGGACAACAGGUUGAUAUUCCUGUACUUCUAUAAAUCGUUUGAGCAAUGGAGGGACGCAGGAGGCUAAGAAAAGCGUACGACUGGAAGUGUACGCCCAAGCAGUGAGUCGGCUGAUGAGUCAAAUGCUUAUCACGGAUGCGACAAGCUGUGACGGGGAGGGAAGUUUAGUACCGAAGUUUCUGAUGUCACACUGCCGAGAAAAGCUUCUAGCAAGAUUUAUAGGACCCGUACCGCAAACCGACACAGGUAGUUGAGGAGAGAAUCCUAAGGUGAGCGAGCGAACUCUCGUUAAGGAACUCGGCAAAAUGACCCCGUAACUUCGGGAGAAGGGGUGCUGACAGAGAUGUCAGCCGCAGUGAAUAGGCCCAGGCGACUGUUUAUCAAAAACACAGGUCUCUGCAAAAUCGAAAGAUGACGUAUAGGGGCUGACGCCUGCCCGGUGCUGGAAGGUUAAGAGGAGAGGUUAGCCGCAAGGCGAAGCUUUGAAUUGAAGCCCCAGUAAACGGCGGCCGUAACUAUAACGGUCCUAAGGUAGCGAAAUUCCUUGUCGGGUAAGUUCCGACCCGCACGAAAGGCGUAAUGAUUUGGGCACUGUCUCAACGAGAGACUCGGUGAAAUUUUAGUACCUGUGAAGAUGCAGGUUACCCGCGACAGGACGGAAAGACCCCAUGGAGCUUUACUGUAGUUUGAUAUUGAGUGUUUGUGUCACAUGUACAGGAUAGGUAGGAGCUGAAGAAUCCGGGACGCCAGUUUCGGAGGAGGCAACGGUGGGAUACUACCCUUGUGACAUGACCACUCUAACCCGCACCCCUCACCGGGGUGGGAGACAGUGUCAGACGGGCAGUUUGACUGGGGCGGUCGCCUCCUAAAAUGUAACGGAGGCGCCCAAAGGUUCCCUCAGAAUGGUUGGAAAUCAUUCGAAGAGUGUAAAGGCAGAAGGGAGCUUGACUGCGAGACCAACAAGUCGAGCAGGGACGAAAGUCGGGCUUAGUGAUCCGGUGGUACCGUAUGGAAGGGCCAUCGCUCAACGGAUAAAAGCUACCCUGGGGAUAACAGGCUUAUCUCCCCCAAGAGUUCACAUCGACGGGGAGGUUUGGCACCUCGAUGUCGGCUCGUCGCAUCCUGGGGCUGUAGUCGGUCCCAAGGGUUGGGCUGUUCGCCCAUUAAAGCGGUACGCGAGCUGGGUUCAGAACGUCGUGAGACAGUUCGGUCCCUAUCCGUCGCGGGCGUUGGAAAUUUGAGAGGAGCUGUCCUUAGUACGAGAGGACCGGGAUGGACACACCGCUGGUGUACCAGUUGUUCUGCCAAGAGCAUCGCUGGGUAGCUAUGUGUGGACGGGAUAAACGCUGAAAGCAUCUAAGCGUGAAGCCCCCCUCGAGAUGAGAUUUCCCAUCAUUUUAAAUGAGUAAGACCCCUGAGAGACGAUCAGGUAGAUAGGCUAGAAGUGGAAGUGCCGCGAGGCAUGGAGCGGACUAGUACUAAUCGGUCGAGGACUUAACCAC
rnacentral:rRNA from 1 species